rnacentral:rRNA from 1 species
AACGUAGGAGACAAUCGUUAUCCGGAGUUACUGGGCGUAAAGGGCGUGUAGGUGGUAGAGUAAGUCUGGCGUGAAAUUUUUCGGCUUAACCGGGAAAGGUCGUCGGAUACUGCUUAACUAGAGGACGGUAGAGGCGUGUGGAAUUCCGGGUGUAGUGGUGAAAUGCGUAGAGAUCCGGAGGAACACCAGUGGCGAAGGCGACACGCUGGGCCGUACCUGACACUGAUGCGCGACAGCAUGGGGAGCAAACAGG